UCCUGGAAAAGGAGGACGUCUGGUCACCCUGGAUUGCAGCAUGAGAGAGCAGCAUAUGGUGAACGUAGAGUGGAGUCUUCUGCGAAUUGCAAAUUACAAAGCCAUGCCGACAUAAUAGCAGUUUACAAUAGUUAUGCUUGUCCACUUAAUACUGUACACAAACAUCUCCAGACAAGAAAGUGACAGGGGGUUGAUUCAGCAUGAUUAAGCAGAAAACUGAACUCUGCCACCAAUACAGGAAUCUAUUGUGUUAUGACUGACAGAUUGAAAAGAACAUGGAAAAAACGCCAGCCCAGUGGCUGUCAGCUGUGUGAAAG